CACCAUACAGAACUGUUAAGGCUUGUUUAGAUUCCAAACAUGUUUUCCUUAAGUAAAUCCAUAUCUAGUAACAAUAGUUAUAUUCUCUGUUUCUUGCUCUGUAGUGAAAGGUGAAGCACUGUUUUCUCUUAGACCUCACAUCAGCUUUACAGGUGCUCAGAGAUGCCAUCAACAGAUAUUAAAGGUGAUACACCACAAAAUAAAAGAGGCUAAGGUGCAGUGCUGCUCAGGGAAUACAAAAACUUUAGCUUUGUGUUGUGGUGCUAAAGGGAUGAACUGUUAAUAUACCAUUAAAGAAUACAGAUGGAAUGUGUGGGGGUCAAUGGCUUUUGAACUGAAAUCCUCCCCAGGUGAGCAUUGGAGGCUGCUCCCCAGGUGACAAUGCUUCUCCUGCACAACUGCCUUCCAUCUCACUGCACCUGCUGCUCUAGAUAAGGCAGAACCUUAGCUCUGUUCUCACCCAUGCUCAAGCUCUGUGUGUUGGAUGGUUUGCAGACUGGUGCAGGACUAUUUCUUCCACUGUUGCCUUUGCUUGCUUGGGUGUCCUUUCCUUUGGUGGCCUGCAGCAGAAGUGAGACUAGAGAGGUGUUUAUUUUUGCCUGAGCUCUGCAGAGAAGAUGCUUUGCUGUGCUAUGCUUUGUUUUGCUGUGCACCACGUUCCCCAGUGUAAAAUGGUCUGCUGCCUUUCCCUGCCUUGUAGCAUCUCUGCGAGACAUGACUGUGAUUACUUUAGCAUGUGUUCUCAUCCUGAAUACCUCACUUAUGGAAGUGAAUAUAGUCCACGCUCUUAUCAGUCUGGGUGAGACUUGGAGAGAGCCCACAAACUGCUCAGAGCCCCUAAAGUCUCAGGGACUCCUUCCUGAUCACAGCUAUCCUCCAAGGGACUGUUUGGUGGAGCAGGUGGUGUCCUUAAAUCAUGGACUUCUUGGAACUUUGAAGAUAUGUGGUGAGAUUUUCCCUGGGUGUCUCGGAUCAAAGUGAUAUCAAACCCUCACCUGGAACCAGUGGUGGAACUGCUGGAGAAAGCAGCACAACCAGUGCCUGGGUCACCUGAGGACUCGUGAGGGUCAGAGAGACAUCAAUUGGAUGAAAGCUGUGUGCCCUCCCUUGCGUCUCUAAAUGUUACACUCAUGUUUAGAUAACUCACAGGUCAGUUGUUCUUCUAUUUUGAGCAUGCAGCAAACCAUGCUGAGACAGCUUGUAAAGCAUGUGACUGAUUUCCCAUUUUUUUUUAUUCCACUCCUCUCUUCCUGCUGCUGCUGCUUUCUGUGGAGGUGCUCACAGGGCAGGCUUCCCGUGGCAAGUAGGAAUGCUGAGAAAAUAAGCAGAAAGUAAUGGCUUUCACCUGUGUUCUGGCUGGGUUUUGGGGUGCAGGGGAAGCACUUCCCAUUCCCUGCUCUGGCAGAGAGCUCCAACUGUAGCUGCAGCUCUGCAGCAGGAGAGUGGAGGAGGGGAGAAGGGGAAGGAGCAUCAGAACCAAUUCCUAGGAGCGCAUGCACUGCUUCAGACCUUUUCUACCUUCUUUGUAACCUCUGUCUUCCAGCCAUGGCUGCCUGCUUGCAUUAAUUACUCCUUGCUCCCUAGAUGCACUCACUUCAAGUUACCUUUAGGGUUCAGAGUGCAGAAACCAACUGACCAGGGUUGAAAGCAAUUAACAAACAGGUUAUUUUAAAUUAAUGACUUCUUUUAACCAGCUGUCCG
rnacentral:lncRNA from 1 species